rnacentral:rRNA from 1 species
GAUGAACGCUGGCGGCGUGCCUAAUACAUCCAAGUCGAGCGAACAGAUGAGGAGCUUGCUCCUCUGACGUUAGCGGCGGACGGGUGAGUAACACGUGGAUAACCUACCUAUAAGACUGGGAUAACUUCGGGAAACCGGAGCUAAUACCGGAUAAUAUAUUGAACCGCAUGGUUCAAUAGUGAAAGACGGUUUUGCUGUCACUUAUAGAUGGAUCCGCGCCGCAUUAGCUAGUUGGUAAGGUAACGGCUUACCAAGGCAACGAUGCGUAGCCGACCUGAGAGGGUGAUCGGCCACACUGGAACUGAGACACGGUCCAGACUCCUACGGGAGGCAGCAGUAGGGAAUCUUCCGCAAUGGGCGAAAGCCUGACGGAGCAACGCCGCGUGAGUGAUGAAGGUCUUCGGAUCGUAAAACUCUGUUAUUAGGGAAGAACAAAUGUGUAAGUAACUAUGCACGUCUUGACGGUACCUAAUCAGAAAGCCACGGCUAACUACGUG